UGGGGAAUUUUGGACAAUGGGCGAAAGCCUGAUCCAGCAAUGCCGCGUGUGUGAAGAAGGCCUUCGGGUUGUAAAGCACUUUUGUCCGGAAAGAAAUCCUUGGCUCUAAUACAGUCGGGGGAUGACGGUACCGGAAGAAUAAGCACCGGCUAACUACGUGCCAGCAGCCGCGGUAAUACGUAGGGUGCAAGCGUUAAUCGGAAUUACUGGGCGUAAAGCGUGCGCAGGCGGUUUGCUAAGACCGAUGUGAAAUCCCCGGGCUCAACCUGGGAACUGCAUUGGUGACUGGCAGGCUAGAGUAUGGCAGAGGGGGGUAGAAUUCCACGUGUAGCAGUGAAAUGCGUAGAGAUGUGGAGGAGUACCGAUGGCGAAGGCAGCCCCCUGGGCAAUACUGACGCUCAUGCACGAAAGCGUGGGGAGCAAACAGGAUUAGAUACCCUGGUAGUCCACGCCCUAAACGAUGUCAACUAGUUGUUGGGGAUUCAUUUCCUUAGUAACGUAGCUAACGCGUGAAGUUGACCGCCUGGGGAGUACGGUCGCAAGAUUAAAACUCAAAUGAAUUGACGGGGUCAUAGCUGUUUCCU
rnacentral:rRNA from 1 species